rnacentral:lncRNA from 1 species
AGAUGGGAGUUUACCUGCACAAAACUCUUUUUUUGCCUGCUACCAUCCACGUUAGAUAUGACUUGCUCCUCCUUGCCUUCCAUCAUGAUUGUGAGGCCUGCCCAGACAUGUGGAACUCUGAUAUAAGUCUUUUGAGGUACAGCCUGGCACAAAAAGGAUGAGAUUUGUGGGCAGAAUUUUGGAAGAAUAUCUCCCGAGAGAACAUUCAGGACAGAUUGCACUGCUUUGGAGAGCUGGUGAUGAAAUCCGGCCAUUGAAUUACACUGCACUAUAAACUUCAUUUGUUCUUGGGUGCAUAGUGAUUUGCUAUAAUAAUGAUCAUCCAUUUGCCAGACAGCUGAGAUUUUUUAAAAGCUUGAUUGCUUUUGGCAUGGCAUUAUUAGUCCUGGAAGAAGGCAGCACAUUUGUAGCAAUUCUCAGCUUGAGCAAACUAGAAUAUUCACCUCCCACAAAUGCUGGCCAUUUAAGAUCUGUGUGUUAGACUUUGGCAUUUUUUCUAGCAAUUCUACAACAGCAUACACACUUUUAUUUUUCAUUAACACCAUUGUGAAUAUGCCCAUCUCUAAAAUUUCAAGGGGGUUCACUUAAGCUACUGAGUUUUAUGGACAGAAGGGCCAAGAAAAGUCCCCAAAGAAGAGUGCAUGCUGUCAAUUGCCAAUUAUUUUUUUUUCUAAUGAAAGCCAAACAAUUCCAGACAAACCCUUUUCUAAGAAAUGAACUACAUAUCUGGAUCCAAAUAAAUACUCAUCUGAUAAGAAUCUAAAAGCUCUACUGAAUUACAGUGGAUGAGAACAUGAUGAUGGUGAUUCUUUGAAGAUUACUGAGGAAA